GAUCAUGGCUCAGGAUGAACGCUAGCUACAGGCUUAACACAUGCAAGUCGAGGGGCAGCGGGAUUCAAGCUUGCUUCAAUUGCCGGCGACCGGCGCACGGGUGAGUAACGCGUAUCCAACCUUCCGUACACUCAGGGAUAGCCUUUCGAAAGAAGGAUUAAUACCUGAUGGUAUGAUGAGAUUGCAUGGUAUCAUCAUUAAAGAUUUAUCGGUGUACGAUGGGGAUGCG
rnacentral:rRNA from 1 species